rnacentral:rRNA from 1 species
GACAGAGGGUGCAACCGUUGUUCGGAAUUACUGGGCGUAAAGCGCGUGUAGGCGGCUUGGCAAGUCGGGGGUGAAAGCCCCGGGCUCAACCUGGGAAGUGCACUCGAAACUGCUUCGCUUGAGUACUGGAGAGGGUAGUGGAAUUCUCGGUGUAGAGGUGAAAUUCGUAGAUAUCGAGAGGAACAUCGGUGGCGAAGGCGGCAUCCUGGACCGAGAUUGACGCUGAGGCGCGAAAGCGUGGGGAGCGAACAGG